rnacentral:lncRNA from 1 species
CUAAAUUAGGGGUUUUAUAUUUUUCUGUAGUUCUCACAGCAAUCAUUCCAGGUAAGUAUUGCCAUUCCCAUUUUACAGAGAAGAAAACUAAGGAAAUUAGAAAUUACCAAACCCCAAGACAUUGCUCUUCAUGGAUUCAAGCACUUUUGGAAUCUUUUCCUUCUGGAGAUCAGGUUGGGCUGUGUGUCAGGCCACAAUCACCCUGUUUGACCCCAGAGUUUGACACAGACGUUGGCUUAGGGACCAGCAGCCUGUUCCUGCUGUGUCCCUAUGCCAGCUGGAGACACCCGGCCUCGGAGGCUCACGUUAUGCCGACCCCCACCCCAGUGCUGUCACGCCACUGCCAGUUGUUCCUCAUCUUAAUCCUACUUCAUGGUGGUCAUUUUAAAAGCAUCAGAGCUUUUGACACAGAACCAAAGGGCAUUGCAGUGAAUGGGCCCUUUCUCUCCAUUGGUACCUGUAUUUGGUUUUCUUCUUUUUUGCUAUGGAUGAAGAUAUCUCAUGGAUGAAUGAUGCCAUUGUGAGCUUGGAGAAUACUAAUAUGGCAACAGGUCACAACAUGCGUGACAGGAAAUAGAACAACAGUAGAAAAACAUCUGGGACAUGCCUUAUGGACAAGCGACAUAAAGACCAGACAAGAAAGAAGAAAGGAAAAGAGGUGAGAAGUCACAUUAGAAAAAACUUACAGGAAAGCAUUGAUUCAACCAAGGGCAUAAACUUCAUUGAGCAGCUGGAAAAAUUGACAUUGUCUGGUACUUGGAAAAGAGGUUUUGUUCUGAACACUCCUGGUCUUGGAUAAAGGGAGGAAAUUUUAACCAUCCCAGAGAGUCAGGGGCUGCUUCUGCAACUGAGGUUUGUGCCUGGUACUUACUGGAAAUGGCUUUGCUUCCUGAAAGGUGAAGGUGGAGAAAGCUUAUUGAGAGAUCUCUGAUUGUGGGUGUGAGUUGCCUGGGGGAAGGAAGUGACACAUGAUAAAUUAAAAUCAGUUGCAUGGUCAAUGGGUAAAAUGAAUAGAGCUAAAGUCUGAAUCUCACAUAUACAUAAUUUUUUUUAUCAAUAUGUAUUGUGGGAAUUCUCAUUGUAAGAAAGUUAUUGCAAAUCAGCUUGUAAGUCCCCUAAGAAGCCUUUCUUGAUUCCCUUCCCUUCCUGAUUUUUUUCCUCCCUCUCUAUUUCUAUAACUAGGGUGACCAGGUGUCCCAGUUUGCCCAGGACAGUCCUAGUUUGCACCUGUUGUCCUGAUGUAAUCAUCAAUAGUACUCCCUUUCAUUUUCCUAAGUAUCCUGGUUUCACUCUUUCAUAAUACUCUGCACUUCUCCAUAUCAUAGCACUCACUGAUCUGUGUAAUAAAUGAUUUAUCUGUAUCCUUCAUUAGACUGAAAGGCCUCUGAGUACAAGCGUCUCGUCUGUCUUAUUCACUGUUGGAUUUUCAGUACCUAGUACUGAGCUGGGCACACUGCUGGCACCCCAAAAUGUUCAUUAGGUAGACAAAUAAAUGCCUAUGAUCCAACUCAGGUUCCCGGGGUGGCCUGGCAGGAAAUGCUUCAUGGGCUAUUCUGAGCAAGGUAGCAAUCACACGGAGAAUACGGGAAUCAAUUAAUCAAAAGCUUUUCCCGAUCCCACCCUUAGGUAGACUGAUUUAUACAUGUUGGUAGAGUCCAGCCCCCUCUGUCAUCUGAGUGUCAUCUGAGUGUCAUCUGUACAGGCAGCCCAGGUCACUCUUUUUCUGUAUAGUCGUUGUAUAAAAAGCCAGCAUGGGCUGUUGUCCACAUGAAUUACUCCCUGGAAAUAAUGCUGUCCUGAAAGACCAGCAGCCUGAGAGUAACAGAGAAGAGGGGCAGCAGCAGGGGCACUGAUGGCCAGGUUCAGCUUGGCCACUCACUGACGUUGGGAUCUUGGUCAAAGCACUUCACCUCUCAGCCUUACAAGAGAAAGGUCCCUUCCAGCUGUCAUCCUCUGUAAUUCAGUGACUAUCCUAGGGUUCACUAACAUAGCAGUCAAGGGCUGCGAGCCAGGAUUAUAAUCAUCUCAAUGGAGAACUAGAGAUUGCCUUUGGGGUACUCUACAUUCAGUUUCGGUAGGGCUUGUUGCUCAGCAAAGCCUGUCCCAGGGUUCCUCUUCCACCCCUGAGAGCCCUGCUAAUCAACCCAGAGGUACUGGCUGCCCUGCCAGGCAAAGAUGAGAAGCAUUUAGGAGUAUACGAUCCCAGGUAACCAGCCAGGUAUUUAACCAGGAUAAUCUAGAGCAGGGUCACUGGGUAAACAUUCUGGACUGUGAUUGAGAAAGAAUGCAAAGGAUCAAUCAGAGCUGUGAGAAAAAACCUUCAACAGGGAAAUGGCAGCAUGGGAUCAGAAGACAGAAAUACUCAAUACGGUGUGGGAAGCAGUGGGCAAAGCUGGAGAGGCAGAGACAGCAGCGUGGAUACUGCUGUCAAUCAGGGAAAUACUUGAGUGGUGCCGUUUUUAUGGAGCUGUGGGUGUGUGAAAGGCCCAACUGCUGAGAAGGCCUGGAAUGCUAGUGACUACCAAGGAUUCAUACAAAAUCAUGAUUGGGGUUAUCUGAAAUUUAACAGAGGAUUCCUGAAGAUGCAAACCUUCAUCCAGAAAGCAAAUUCUCACAUGACGGAAUUUCAGAUGGUAUGGCAAGCCUAGAGGAGGAGCUAUUUGGAGCCACUAAGAUUGGGUCAUAAAGCUCCUGCACAACCUGCCUUCCUCUAAAGCCAGAGUCAGUAAGAUAAGCCAGGAUCUAGGGGAAUUGUUGAAUAAGAUCGGUGAAAGGUCCUGCAGGUUUUUAAGCCUCCAGUGUUACCUGAAAGCUGAGGAUGACAAGUUGGCCAGUCAGGAGUGGAGACAAAAUCAUAAGUCUGUGCUUCUAAAACUGUCCCUUUUGGAAGAGUGAGCAUGUGCUCCUGGGUUUUGGGAACAUAAAGCAGUUCCCUAAGAAAUCACAGGUUCUGCUGGGACCUGUCCCACAUCUAGGAGUUGAUCAGCUGCUACUCAGAUACUGUGAAACUGAGGGCCCUCAACUGGGGGCUGCCGCCAAGGGAGGGACCACGGACUCUCAGAUAGUGACAUCUUAUGUCCCCAGAGAGCAAAAGAUUCCCUGGGAACUUAAGAGGAGUCAGGGAAGCCGGGAUGGCUCAGAAAGCAGCCUGCUCCCUCCCUGCCACCUCUGAAUCCUGGGGUUUUAGAAUCUCCCUGACAGUUUGGCAACACUUGAGGUAAUAGCAGCAGAGCUAAUUUGCUAAUCUGCCAGAACUGCAUCCAACAUCCUUUUGUGCACUGACACUAGAGUAAUGGGAAGGCACUAGCUCGGCCACUGUUUGCCUGCUGAAACUAAGCUAUGGCAUUCUCUGCAUAAUUCAUUUGUGCAUGAAAUGGAAGCCUAAUAGCAUAAGUAAAACACUAAGCAGAAAUAGGUGGUAAAUGUCUUUUUUAAGUCUUAAAGAUAGACUCUACUUCACUUAUAAAGCCCAAUUUGGUAAUACUUAAUGGCAUGAAACACUUUUCUCUGGAGCCAUACCUACUGACUGCUUUUUGAUCCCCCUACCUUCCCAGGCCCCUGCCUGCUGAGAUAGUCAGUCCAUCAUCCCCUUGACUCUCUCUGCCUCCCCAGCCAUGCCCUUGCAGAUGGCACUGAGCCCAGCAUCCUGUCCUCACAGGGCCUCUUACCCUCCCGCAGGGCCCACUGUAGCAGCAAAGGCUGGAGGCAUCCAGGUUCCAGGCCAGGCCAGGCCUGGAAGGUCCGAGCUUGCUGGUAACUGAGCUCAGGGAACGGAGGCCCUGUGGUGAGCUCAGAGGGGCAGCAGUAGCCAGGGCCAGGGGGUCGUGAGUGGGAGGAGUUGGCCUCUGUUCUUCCAGAAUUGGGAGGGCUCUGCUAAAACAGCUGCUUCUCAGUAGAGGAGCCUCAGGCCAAGUGAGUCUGCUCAGAGCCCGCUCAGAGCCCGCUCAGUGCCCGCUCAGUGUUCAGAUGGGUCAGGAGCCUAGCACAAUGGGCUUUGAGCUUUGUGGGUCUCUUUCCGGUUAUCCCUUGCUGCAGAAGAAAUUAUCCUAAAACAUAGUGACUUAAAACAACAGUUUUAUUUAGCUCACAAUUGUAUGGUUUAGGAAUUUGGGAAGAAAUUGGCUGGGCCAUUCAUCUCUGAAUCUCACAGUGUCAUGUGGGGCAGGAUCCACUUACAAGAUGGUUCCUCACACCUGCUUCCGGUGCCUCCUGGGUCCUCUGCUCCUCUCUGUCUCUGCACUUCUACAGGGACCUCUCCAGCGGCUUCAGCUUCUCACAGCAUGGCCCUCAAGGCUGGUGCCCAUGAGGAAAUGUUCAAAAGCAAGCAGACGAAGAGGCACGUGGGGAAGCUGCGACUUCUGUGACCGAGCCUCCAAAUCCCCAAAGUCACACAGCUGCAUUCUGGACUUACCAAGCAUGUUGGUAAGUCCAGCCAUGUCUAAGGGGAGAGGAGGCGUCAAUCUCAUCUCUGGAUGUGCACACAGGGAAGGAAGCAUUGAUGGAUGCCACCUUGGAGGCACAGUACCACAGUCUCCCAGUUACUCAGCUUCUGACAUUGAAACUGUGGACAAGAGAUCCUGGAGGACAGACCCUGAAGCGCUCCCUUACCUGAUGGCCUCCCGACAGAAGAGGAACCCUGGGCUUUAGAGACUGAUUAUUGUAACACUGAGACCAAAUGGUGGUCAGUCUUCGAGGGCACACCCUAUGCAGACUCAUUUCUGUGUGGGCAAAUGAGUGUCAUCUAAAUAUAUCUCAGCCAUACUGCUUCAGCCCUAAGGCUUGGUUUCAUACAGUGACACAUUAAAAAGAAAAACAAAUCUAACUCCAAAC